UGUGUGUUAGUGGAAGCGUCUGGAAAGGCGCGCGAUACAGGGUGACAGCCCCGUACACAAAAAUGCACAUGCUGUGAGCUCGAUGAGUAGGGCGGGACACGUGGUAUCCUGUCUGAAUAUGGGGGGACCAUCCUCCAAGGCUAAAUACUCCUGACUGACCGAUAGUGAACCAGUACCGUGAGGGAAAGGCGAAAAGAACCCCGGCGAGGGGAGUGAAAAAGAACCUGAAACCGUGUACGUACAAGCAGUGGGAGCACGCUUCGGCGUGUGACUGCGUACCUUUUGUAUAAUGGGUCAGCGACUUAUAUUCUGUAGCAAGGUUAACCGAAUAGGGGAGCCGAAGGGAAACCGAGUCUUAACUGGGCGUUAAGUUGCAGGGUAUAGACCCGAAACCCGGUGAUCUAGCCAUGGGCAGGUUGAAGGUUGGGUAACACUAACUGGAGGACCGAACCGACUAAUGUUGAAAAAUUAGCGGAUGACUUGUGGCUGGGGGUGAAAGGCCAAUCAAACCGGGAGAUAGCUGGUUCUCCCCGAAAGCUAUUUAGGUAGCGCCUCGUGAAUUCAUCUCCGGGGGUAGAGCACUGUUUCGGCAAGGGGGUCAUCCCGACUUACCAACCCGAUGCAAACUGCGAAUACCGGAGAAUGUUAUCACGGGAGACACACGGCGGGUGCUAACGUCCGUCGUGAAGAGGGAAACAACCCAGACCGCCAGCUAAGGUCCCAAAGUCAUGGUUAAGUGGGAAACGAUGUGGGAAGGCCCAGACAGCCAGGAUGUUGGCUUAGAAGCAGCCAUCAUUUAAAGAAAGCGUAAUAGCUCACUGGUCGAGUCGGCCUGCGCGGAAGAUGUAACGGGGCUAAACCAUGCAC
rnacentral:rRNA from 1 species